GGGCGUUUGGCACAGUGGUAGCGCGCACGCUUUGCAUAUCGGAAUUGCGUGAGGUCGAGGGUUCAAGCCCCUCAACGUCCA